AUUGAACGCUGGCGGCAGGCUUAACACAUGCAAGUCGAGCGGGGUGAUGGUGCUUGCACUAUCACUUAGCGGCGGACGGGUGAGUAAUGCUUAGGAAUCUGCCUAUUAGUGGGGGACAACAGCUCGAAAGGGAUGCUAAUACCGCAUACGUCCUACGGGAGAAAGCAGGGGAUCACUUGUGACCUUGCGCUAAUCGACGAGCCUAAGUCGGAUUAGCUAGUUGGUGGGGUAAAGGCCUACCAAGGCGACGAUCGGUAGCGGGUCUGAGAGGAUGAUCCGCCGCACUGGGACUGAGACACGGCCCAGACUCCUACGGGAGGCAGCAGUGGGGAAUAUUGGACAAUGGGGGGAACCCUGAUCCAGCCAUGCCGCGUGUGUGAAGAAGGCCUUAUGGUUGUAAAGCACUUUAAGCGAGGAGGAGGCUCUUUUGGUUAAUACCCAAGAUGAGUGGACGUUACUCGCAGAAUAAGCACCGGCUAACUCUGUGCCAGCAGCCGCAGUAA
rnacentral:rRNA from 1 species